rnacentral:misc_RNA from 1 species
UUUCCGUAGGUGAACCUGCGGAAGGAUCAUUAUUGUAUAACCGAGGUGCGAGGGCUGUCGCUGACCCGAAAGGUCGUGCACGCCCGAGUGCCCUCACACACAUCCAUCUCACCCCUAUGUGCACCACCGCGUGGGUCCCCCUUUGGCUUGUUCGGAGGGGGGCUUACGUUUUCACACAAACUUUGUAUGCAGUGUAGAAUGUAUUUUUUGUUUUUGCGAUCACGCAAUCAAUACAACUUUCAACAACGGAUCUCUUGGGUCUC